rnacentral:rRNA from 1 species
AUUGAACGCUGGCGGAAUACUUUACACAUGCAAGUCGAACGGCAGCAUAGGUGCUUGCACCUGAUGGCGAGUGGCGAACGGGUGAGUAAUACAUCGGAACGUGCCCAGUCGUGGGGGAUAACGUAGCGAAAGUUACGCUAAUACCGCAUACGAUCUAAGGAUGAAAGCGGGGGACCGUAAGGCCUCGCGCGAUUGGAGCGGCCGAUGUCAGGUUAGGUAGUUGGUGAGGUAAAGGCUCACCAAGCCGACGAUCUGUAGCUGGUCUGGGAGGACGACCAGCCACACUGGGACUGAGACAAGGCCCAGACUCCUACGGGAGGCAGCAGUGGGGAAUUUUGGACAAUGGACGCAAGUCUGAUCCAGCCAUUCCGCGUGCAGGACGAAGGCCUUCGGGUUGUAAACUGCUUUUGUACGGAACGAAAAAGCUCUUACUAAUACUAGGAGUCCAUGACGGUACCGUAAGAAUAAGCACCGGCUAACUACGUGCCAGCCGCCGCCGUAA